rnacentral:rRNA from 1 species
CGGCAACAGCUCAAAUUUGAAAUCUGGCCUCUUUGGGGUCCGAGUUGUAAUUUGGAGAGGAUGUUUCGGGCACGGUCCGGGCUUAAAUUUCUUGGAACAGAAUGUCACAGAGGGUGAGAAUCCCGUCUGGAGUCCGCGACACGACCUAUGUGAAACUCCUUCGACGAGUCGAGUUGUUUGGGAAUGCAGCUCUAAAUGGGUGGUAAAUUUCAUCUAAAGCUAAAUAUUGGCCAGAGACCGAUAGCGCACAAGUAGAGUGAUCGAAAGAUGAAAAGCACUUUGAAAAGAGAGUUAAACAGUACGUGAAAUUGUUGAAAGGGAAGCGCAGGCAACCAGACUUGCGCGUCGGGGUUCCCCCUUGCUUCUGCCUGGGUUACUCCCCGGCGUUCAGGCCAACAUCGGUUUCGGGGGUUGGUUAAAGACCCUGGGAAUGUAUCUACCCUGCGGGGUAGACUUAUAGCCCAGGGUGUCAUGCGACCUCCCGGGACCGAGGAACGCGCUUCGGCUCGGAUGUUGGCGUAAUGGUUGUCUGCGGCCCGUCUUGAAACACGGACCAAGGAGUCUAACAUCUAUGCGAGUGUUAGGGUGUCAAACCCUUACGCGGAAUGAAAGUGAACGGAGGUAGGAAGCCUUAAGGCUGCACUAUCGACCGAUCCUGAAGUUUACGGAUGGAUUUGAGUAAGAGCAUAGCUGUUGGGACCCGAAAGAUGGUGAACUAUGCCUGAAUAGGGUGAAGCCAGAGGAAACUCUGGUGGAGGCUCGCA